rnacentral:rRNA from 1 species
GAUGAACGCUGGCGGCGUGCCUAAUACAUGCAAGUCGAGCGAACAGACGAGGAGCUUGCUCCUCUGACGUUAGCGGCGGACGGGUGAGUAACACGAGGAUAACCUACCUAUAAGACUGGGAUAACUUCGGGAAACCGGAGCUAAUACCGGAUAAUAUAUUGAACCGCAUGGUUCAAUAGUGAAAGACGGUUUUGCUGUCACUUAUAGAUGGAUCCGCGCCGCAUUGGCUAGUUGGUAAGGUAACGGCUUACCAAGGCAACGAUGCGUAGCCGACCUGAGAGGGUGAUCGGCCACACUGGAACUGAGACACGGUCCAGACUCCUACGGGAGGCAGCAGUAGGGAAUCUUCCGCAAUGGGCGAAAGCCUGACGGAGCAACGCCGCGUGAGUGAUGAAGGUCUUCGGAUCGUAAAACUCUGUUAUUAGGGAAGAACAAAUGUGUAAGUAACUAUGCACGUCUUGACGGUACCUAAUCAGAAAGCCACGGCUAACUACGUG